rnacentral:tRNA from 1 species
GCUCGCAUAGCUCAGCUGGAUAGAGUGUCGCCCUCCGAAGGCGAAGGUCGUAGGUUCGAAUCCUACUGCGAGCA